rnacentral:rRNA from 1 species
AAAUUGACGGGGGCCCGCACAAGCGGCGGAGCAUGCGGAUUAAUUCGAUGCAACGCGAAGAACCUUACCAAGGCUUGACAUACACCGGUAACGCCCAGAGAUGGGUGCCCCUUUGUGGUCGGUGACAGGUGGUGCAUGGUUGUCGUCAGCUCGUGUCGUGAGAUGUUGGGUUAAGUCCCGCAACGAGCGCAACCCUCGUCCUAUGUUGCCAGCGGGUCAUGCCGGGGACUCAUGGGAGACUGCCGGGGUCAACUCGGAGGAAGGUGGGAUGACGUCAAAUCAUCAUGCCCCUUAUGUCUUGGGCUUCACGCAUGCUACAAUGGCCGGUACAAAGGGCUGCGAUACCGCGAGGUGGAGCGAAUCCCAGAAAGCCGGUCUCAGUUCGGAUUGGGGUCUGCAACUCGACCCCAUGAAGUCGGAGUCGCUAGUAAUCGCAGAUCAGCAACGCUGCGGUGAAUACGUUCCCGGGCCUU